rnacentral:rRNA from 1 species
UCCAGGCAAAUCCGGAUAACCAAGGCUGAGGUGUGAUGACGAGGCACUACGGUGCUGAAGUAACAAAUGCCCUGCUUCCAGGAAAAGCCUCUAAGCAUCAGGUAACAUCAAAUCGUACCCCAAACCGACACAGGUGGUCAGGUAGAGAAUACCAAGGCGCUUGAGAGAACUCGGGUGAAGGAACUAGGCAAAAUGGUGCCGUAACUUCGGGAGAAGGCACGCUGGUGUGUAGGUGAAGUCCCUGCGGAUGGAGCUGAGACCAGUCGAAGAUACCAGCUGGCUGCAACUGUUUAUUAAAAACACAGCACUGUGCAAACACGAAAGUGGACGUAUACGGUGUGACGCCUGCCCGGUGCCGGAAGGUUAAUUGAUGGGGUUAUCCGUAAGGAGAAGCUCUUGAUCGAAGCCCCGGUAAACGGCGGCCGUAACUAUAACGGUCCUAAGGUAGCGAAAUUCCUUGUCGGGUAAGUUCCGACCUGCACGAAUGGCGUAAUGAUGGCCAGGCUGUCUCCACCCGAGACUCAGUGAAAUUGAACUCGCUGUGAAGAUGCAGUGUACCCGCGGCAAGACGGAAAGACCCCGUGAACCUUUACUAUAGCUUGACACUGAACAUUGAGCCUUGAUGUGUAGGAUAGGUGGGAGGCUUUGAAGCGUGGACGCCAGUCUGCGUGGAGCCAACCUUGAAAUACCACCCUUUAAUGUUUGAUGUUCUAACGUUGGCCCCUGACCGGGGUUGCGGACAGUGUCUGGUGGGUAGUUUGACUGGGGCGGUCUCCUCCCAAAGCGUAACGGAGGAGCACGAAGGUUAGCUAAUCCUGGUCGGACAUCAGGAGGUUAGUGCAAUGGCAUAAGCUAGCUUGACUGCGAGCGUGACGGCGCGAGCAGGUGCGAAAGCAGGUCAUAGUGAUCCGGUGGUUCUGAAUGGAAGGGCCAUCGCUCAACGGAUAAAAGGUACUCCGGGGAUAACAGGCUGAUACCGCCCAAGAGUUCAUAUCGACGGCGGUGUUUGGCACCUCGAUGUCGGCUCAUCACAUCCUGGGGCUGAAGUAGGUCCCAAGGGUAUGGCUGUUCGCCAUUUAAAGUGGUACGCGAGCUGGGUUUAGAACGUCGUGAGACAGUUCGGUCCCUAUCUGCCGUGGGCGCUGGAGAAUUGAGGGGGGCUGCUCCUAGUACGAGAGGACCGGAGUGGACGCAUCACUGGUGUUCGGGUUGUCAUGCCAAUGGCACUGCCCGGUAGCUAAAUGCGGAAGAGAUAAGUGCUGAAAGCAUCUAAGCACGAAACUUGCCCCGAGAUGAGUUCUCCCUGAGACUUUAAGUCUCCUGAAGGAACGUUAAAGACGAUGACGUUGAUAGGCCGGGUGUGUAAGCGCAGCGAUGCGUUGAGCUAACCGGUACUAAUGAACCGUGAGGCUUAACCUU